rnacentral:tRNA from 3 species
GGCGGUGUGCCCGAGUGGCCAAUGGGAGCGGACUGUAAAUCCGUCGGCUUAGCCUACCCAGGUUCGAAUCCUGGCGCCGCCACCG